rnacentral:rRNA from 1 species
GUCGUUCUUUGUUCGGCGACCGGCGGCGACGGAGGAGGUAACGCGUAUCCAACCUUCCCCAUAGUAGGGAAUAGCCCGGCGAAAGUCGGAUUAAUGCCCUAUGUUGUAUUAUGAGGACAUCUGAUUAAUACCAAAGAUUCAUCGCUAUGGGAUGGGGAUGCGUCUGAUUAGGUAGUAGGCGGGUAACGGCCCACCUAGCCGACGAUCAGUAGGGGUUCUGAGAGGAAGGUCCCCCACAUUGGUACUGAGACACGGGCCAAACUCCUACGGGAGGCAGCAGUGAGGAAUAUUGGUCAAUGGGCGAGAGCCUGAACCAGCCAAGUAGCCGUGCAGGACGACUGCCCUAUGGGUUGUAAACUGCUUUUAUAGGGGAAUAAAGUGGGGCACGUGUGCCUUUUUGUAUGUACCCUAUGAAUAAGGACCGGCUAAUUCCGUGCCAGCAGCCGC